ACAUUUCCAAAAUAUCGGAAACAUACAUAUGCACACACUUAAAAAUAAUGUUACUCUUUUAAAAAAUAACUGCAACGUAAAUUCUAAAUUAUGUAAACUAUCCUACAUAAAUCCAGAGCAACGUUGACUUGAUAAAGAAUCAUUCCAAGAAAAAAUUUCCAAUCAAGCCGAGAUGAGGACAAUAAUUGCCCUGGUCACCGUGGCCUUCUUUCUCAUUGUGCAGGGAUCGGCCGAGAGCUGCAAUUCUGAUGCAGACUGUCCGAGUGGGUGCUGUGUCAUGUCCUUCGAGGAUCCUCUCAAGGAACUGAAGGAGUGCGUGGAAUUGUCACCGGAAGGUCGCCUUUGUUCCGACAGACGAGACCCACUAAACUGGUUUUGCCCCUGUGCUGCAGGUCUCAAUUGUGUCAAGCAGCCAGGACUUUUUGACGGCCACAGGUGCACCCGGCCAUAGCAUUGACAAUAUGUAUGACUGGAUUUAGUACAUAAUUGUGAAAUCGAAUAAGCAAAAACAUGAGUUUUAUAAAUAUAUUGGUGAGUGCUAAAUAUGUGGGGACGUUCGUAAACUUUGCAACGCAAGUUUUGACUUUGGUCCAAAUUUUUUUACCAACCUGUAUCUCAUAUUUAGGCACGAUAACAUUACCACUGCGUUAUGAUGUUUACGAACGUCCCUUAUUUUGAAUCGUACCUCUUGAAACAUAUUUUUUGGCUAAAAAUGCUGCGACCCAGAAAAUGUUAUUUAGUAAUAAGUGACUCAUUAAAGGUUCUAAAAUAAAUAAUUAUAUUUUAUUUA